rnacentral:rRNA from 1 species
CACGUGAGCAACCUGCCGAUCUGAGGGGAUAGCCGGCCCAACGGCCGGGUAAUACCGCAUACGCUUCUUGAGGGACAUCCCUUGGGAAGGAAACCUCCGGGGCAGAUCGAGGGGCUCGCGGCCUAUCAGCUAGUUGGUGAGGUAACGGCUCACCAAGGCAUCGACGGGUAGCUGGUCUGAGAGGAUGGCCAGCCACAUUGGGACUGAGAGACGGCCCAG